AUGCAAGUCGAGCGCGCCUUCGGGUGAGCGGCGGACGGGUUAGCGUGGGAACGUGCCCUUUUCUACGGAAUAGCCUCUGGAAACGGAGAGUAAUACCGUAUACGCCCUUUGGGGGAAAGAUUAUCGGAGAAGGAUCGGCCCGCGUUAGAUUAGGUAGUUGGUGGGGUAACGGCCUACCAAGCCUACGAUCUAUAGCUGGUUUUAGAGGAUGAUCAGCAACACUGUGACUGAGACACGGCCCAGACUCCUACGGGAGGCAGCAGUGCGGAACUCUUAGACACUGGGGGCAACCCUGAUCUAGCCAUGCCGGGUGAGAUAUGAAGGGCCCUAGGGUAGUAAAGGUCUUAUCGCAUGUUAAUGAUAAUUACCCGGUGCCUGGUAACGAAAACCCCCGGAUAAAUACCGUGGCACACAAGCGCCGGAUAAUACGGCAAGGGGGUCUGAGCGUGUGUCCGAAAAUAACUGGCGCAUAAA
rnacentral:rRNA from 1 species